rnacentral:lncRNA from 1 species
AAUUUUUCAAAUUCUACUUAUUCGUAUGUGUAUGGCUUUCUUUUUCCGUUGGACAUAUUCAUUUUAUGAAAAAAAUGUUUUUUUGUAGUUAUGACGUCAUAAUGCCGUGUUUUGACAACACUUCACGUGCAUAUUUGUUGGCUUUUCACAAUUUUUACUCAUUUUCACUAACUUUUUUUACGAAAAAAGUACCAGCGCAUUCUUUCCCCAACGAAAUAUUUUGUCAGAGAAAUAAUACCAACAAAAAGCAUCUUAUGUUGAAAUAUUUCAGUGGGGCAAAGCUGCGCUCAUACUGAAUUUUAAUUAAAAACUUGCUCAAAACCGGC